rnacentral:lncRNA from 1 species
GGAAAUAAGGUUAAAAGCGAGGGGAUUUACUUGUGUGGUCGGAUCCUCGUUGGCUCCGUCGCAAUCGGAGCCGGACGACGGUUCAAAGGCCUCUGAGCAACCUUUGCAGAGCGGCGUGACUUUGGGCAGGGGGAGAAACGUUUAGUUUUUUUAACUUUGGGCAGGGGGAAAAAUGAUUCCGUUGAAGGCCUGCUUCAGUGGCCUUGAAACGGCGCCGUAUUGAG